rnacentral:rRNA from 1 species
AGAACGAACGCUGGCGGCAGGCUUAACACAUGCAAGUCGAACGCUCGUAGCAAUACGGGAGUGGCAGACGGGUGAGUAACGCGUGGGAACAUACCCUCCGGUUCGGAAUAGCUCAGGGAAACUUGGAUUAAUACCGGAUACGGCUGAGAGGCGAAAGAUUUAUCGCCGGAGGAUUGGCCCGCGUUCGAUUAGCUUGUUGGUGAGGUAACGGCUCACCAAGGCGAUGAUCGAUAGCUGGUCUGAGAGGAUGAUCAGCCACAUUGGGACUGAGACACGGCCCAAACUCCUACGGGAGGCAGCAGUGGGAAUAUUGGACAAUGGGCGCAAGCCUGAUCCAGCCAUGCCGCGUGAGUGAUGACGGCCUUAGGGUUGUAAAGCUCUUUCGCUCGGGACGAUAAUGACGGUACCGAGAUAAGAGCCCGGCUAACUUCGUGCCAGCAGCCGC